CCUACGGGUGGCUGCAGUGAGGAAUAUUGGUCACUGGGCGCGAGCCUGAACCAGCCAAGUAGCGUGAAGGAUGACUGCCCUACGGGUUGUAAACUUCUUUUAUAACGGAAUAAAGUGAGGCACGUGUGCCUUUUUGUAUGUACUUUAUGAAUAAGGAUCGGCUAACUCCGUGCCAGCAGCCGCGGUAAUACGGAGGAUCCGAGCGUUAUCCGGAUUUAUUGGGUUGAAAGGGCGCGUAGAUGGGUUGUUAAGUCAGUUGUGAAAGUUUGCGGCUCAACCGUAAAAUUGCAAUUGAUACAGGCAGCCUGGAGUACAGUUGAGGGAGGCGGAAUUCGUGGUGUAGCGGUGAAAUGCUGAGAUAUCACGAAGAACUCCGAUUGCGAAGGCAGCCUACUAAACUGCCACUGACAUUGAUGCUCGAAAGUGUGGGUAUCAAACAGGAUUAGAUACCCUUGUAGUC
rnacentral:rRNA from 1 species